rnacentral:rRNA from 1 species
GGUUCAUUCAAAUUUCUGCCCUAUCAACUUUCGACUUUAGUGUAGUGGACUAAAGUGGUUACAACGGGUAACGGAGGGUUAGGGCUCGACCCCGGAGAAGGAGCCUGAGAAACGGUACUACAUCCAAGGAAGGCAGCAGGCGCGCAAAUUACCCAAUCCCGACCGGGGAGGUAGUGACAAUAAAUACUGAUACAGGGCUCUUUCGGGUCUUGUAAUUGGAAUGAGUACAAUUUAAAUCCCUUAACGGGGAACAAUUGGAGGGCAAGUCUGGUGCCAGCAGCCGGGUAAUUCCAGCUCCAAUAGCGUAUAUUAAAGUUGUUGAGGUUAAAAAGCUCGUAGUUG